rnacentral:rRNA from 1 species
UACGGGGGGGAGCAAGCGUUGUUCGGAAUUACUGGGCGUAAAGGGCUCGUAGGCGGCCAACUAAGUCCGACGUGAAAUCCCAAAGCUUAACUUUGGAACUGCGUCGGAUACUGGAUGGCUUGAAUUCGGGAGAGGGAUGCAGAAUUCCAGGUGUAGCGGUGAAAUGCGUAGAUAUCUGGAGGAACACCGGUGGCGAAGGCGGCAUCCUGGACCGGUAUUGACGCUGAGACGCGAAAGCGUGGGGAGCAAACAGG